rnacentral:rRNA from 1 species
CCUGGUAAAUCCGGUUGCAUAUCAACCCUGAGGCGUGAUGACGAUGCACUACGGUGCAGAAGUAGUUGAUGCCCUGCUUCCAGGAAAAGCCUCUAAGCUCUAGGUAACAUUAAAUCGUACCCCAAACCGACACAGGUGGUCAGGUAGAGAAUACCAAGGCGCUUGAGAGAACUCGGGUGAAGGAACUAGGCAAAAUGGUGCCGUAACUUCGGGAGAAGGCACG